rnacentral:rRNA from 1 species
CGGAACUAACAGAUUUACUUCGGUAAUGACGUUAGGAAAGCGAGCGGCGGAUGGGUGAGUAACACGUGGGGAACCUGCCCCAUAGUCUGGGAUACCACUUGGAAACAGGUGCUAAUACCGGAUAAGAAAGCAGAUCGCAUGAUCAGCUUUUAAAAGGCGGCGUAAGCUGUCGCUAUGGGAUGGCCCCGCGGUGCAUUAGCUAGUUGGUAAGGUAAAGGCUUACCAAGGCGAUGAUGCAUAGCCGAGUUGAGAGACUGAUCGGCCACAUUGGGACUGAGACACGGCCCAAACUCCUACGGGAGGCAGCAGUAGGGAAUCUUCCACAAUGGACGCAAGUCUGAUGGAGCAACGCCGCGUGAGUGAAGAAGGUUUUCGGAUCGUAAAGCUAUGUUGUUGGUGAAGAAAGA